GUCUCUAAGGUGCCACAAGUACUCCUGUCCUUUUUAUGUUAGAGUAUGAGGUGCUCAGAUGGGAAAUGGGGGCCAGGUAAGCAUCAGAGAUAGUCGUGGCAGGUGUGUGCUAGCAGUCUUUAACCAGGGACCAGUCCAGCGAGCCUGUUAUGUUUCACAAACACAGUACUUGAUACAUCUCCAACCUUGCCAGCUCCCUUGGAUGACGCUGGUUCAAUCCUUGAGACAAGUUUGUGUGUGCAAGGCCUCGUGCACAGUGUGUGCCAACUACAACCCUACCAAAAUCCCUGUGGCCAGAGCCUGCUAAGAGAGAGACCACUUCUUCGAGUCAGAGGGUUUGAGAACUUGCUCUCUGGCUAUCAUCAUGGAAAGAAUUAAUCAAGAGUAAUUUGCUGAACCUGAUUCUCAUUGCCCUUCACACUGCUCAGGCACUGUUGGAAAGGGCCCUUAAAGUGGGUGUGAAUGGCCUCCUUUAAGGUGCUUAUACACAGCCAGAGCCCUGUCAAGGGGCCUUAUGGUUAAAUAAGAAUCCAGCCCAAUGUCUCUUUAAGUUUCCUGAGUGGCACAGAGCUCUGUCGUCUGCUGUCCAACAUAACAAGCUUGCUAUCAAUCCGUGAAGCUACACUUCCAUUGUGCUCAGGGCUACCCCGCAGUGGCUCUCAGCCAGCAUAAAAGAGAAGGGUUUAUUGUGUGUCUGAACACAGCACAGGCUGUUCUCAGGGCCCUCAAGCCUGGAAAGUCACAGCAUAGUCCAACUGAGUCUGUCCAGCAGAGGAUGUGGAAAAUUCUAGAGGGGAUAGUGAGUGACCAGGAACAGGGUUUAAGAGGGCUGAGGUGGGGAAACUGAGGCACGGCCAACAAGGGCUGCACCCCCAAGCAGCUGAAUUCCAGACUGAGUAGCAAGCAGAAGGAUCCCUCCUUGAAGAAGUUAAGGGUCCUUGCAGGCCGCGGUGUUGGAAGAUCCUGGGGGUGGACUGCAGGAGAAGAUCCCUGUGGGAGAAGGGAUCUGGUAUCCGGCACCCCGAGGGAAAAUUGAACCGUGGGGGAUCAAGAUCUAGUGGCCCCCAGAAGUACCCUGAGCAGCUGUUGUAACUUAUUAAACUAAUCCCCCCCUUCAUCGUUUGUCGCCUUAGUAUAGCAUAUAAUAGCUUGAUUCUCAGCAGUUGCUGAGCACUCACAAAUUGUGAAAUCUGCAGGGGCUGCAGCUGCUCAGCAUCUUUAAAAAUGAAUCCACGAGGGCAUGAAACCACCUUUGGUGGCAGCUGGUAUCUCCAUUUUUCAUAUGGGUAAACUGAAGCACAGAGAGAUGAUGCGACUAUCCCUGAAGUACCCAGUAAGGCAGUGGCAAAGUUGGAACUAGAACCCAGGAGUCCUGACUCCCAGCUCUUUACUUAAGCCACUAAAUAAUCCUUUCUACCAUCUGUGCAUCCUGACAAAGAUACCUUAUAGAAUGAUCCGUCAAAUAUCUAAUGACCCAUUGUUUGCAAAAUCUAAUUUCUCUGAUUGGAACAGAGUGGACAUUUUAACAGAUCAAAGUAGAUCAAGUGUUGUUAGUUCACAAGUCAAGACGGUUCCUCCAAUUGCUGGUGCCAGAGACUCCCAGUCCUGAUGUGAAAACCCAGCUGUUUGGUCAGCGUCCGACCUAAUCACUGCUGUAGAAGGUUCUUAGCUGACCAUUUUGUUGGUGCUUCAUGAAUCAGAAUGGACUCCAGCUCUCUCUCCUGCUGCUGUACUAGCUCCUGCUAAGCUAGCAGAAGGGAGAUCUUUCUUUUCAUCAGCAAUGGGAGCUCCAUACGUUCAGGAAGCAGAGAUCUGAGUAACUGGAGGCCAUUUUUAUGUAGACACCCUUUUAGCAGGAACUGCUCCUUAAUUGACUCACUUUUAAAGUGUAGUCUUUCUGUAUUCUAGAACCCCAACUGUUUACCUUAUCUCAGGGCUUCUCAACCUGGAGUUUGUGAGCAGAUGCCAAGGGGUUGUGGCCAUGCUGCCCUCCCCUGGUGCUAAAAGGGAUGGAAUGGAUGGAUCCCAGUAUGAAAAAGAUUGAGAACCGCUGCCUGCCCUGGUGAAGAAAAACCCGGCUGUGCACAUACAUACACAAAUAUUUCAUUCACCGGGUAACUCGGAUUUUAGCUGCUUUGCACUAUGAUAAGCCAUAGCAAGAAAAAACUGACGGCUUGUUAGCCAAACAGAUAGCAGGGGGAUUAUAAGAGGAACUGGGCUCCAGACUUUCAGUUGGGUCACAGCUCUGUCACCACCUGUGAAAUGAACAUGUUUCAAAUUGUCAAGGUAAAAUGGAGAAGAGCAGCCUCAUGGUAUCACAGGACAGCUGAUUCUAGCAUUCUCCAUUUCCCCUGUACUUGCUGAGCGGGAAGCAUGGCUUUAAAGAAUGACAACACCUUCGGGCGCAUCGCUAGUAUCCCUCUGUUCAACUUGGCUUAUCAGAUCACUAUGUUCACCUAUGUGGACGUAAAAGGUACCCACCCCGUGGUGGGUUUCUUCUGUGACAUGGCAGAGUGCAGCGUGAGCACCGUGUGGGGGUGGCUGUGAUGGCAGCCACUCCUGUCGUGCAGAGGCUGGAGGUGCCAAUAGCUGCAGUUAAUAACUAAACACUGAGGGGCAUGGCCGAGCAGGAGGCGAGAUUCCCCAUUCUGGAUCAGUCAGCGAACGAAGUCCUUGGGAAUUUGCAAGGCAGCCUGGCU